UUACCUCUGCUAUGAUAAGAAGACACGACAUUUGCAUCCCCUUCUCUCCUCUUCUGUCCUCCUAAGAAUGGCUUCUUUGACCCCUGUCAUACCCCGAAAUUCACCCUACUCUGAUACAACUUUCAUCUGAUCCAUGGCCCUACUGCACAUGCAUGCUUUCAUUAUCUCCUCGUCAUAAUUAUAUUAACUUUCAUAACCAAAUACAUAUUGCAUGGGAUCAAAGCAUGAUAUAAAAAAA
rnacentral:lncRNA from 1 species